rnacentral:lncRNA from 1 species
UAACUAUGACACUUUUGGUACUUAAGCUUAAAAAAAUUGGGUCGACAUAGAUAGAAAAAAAAAAGUAGUCACGAGAGAACUCUCUCUAGAGAGAAACCCUAAUUGCAACUCCGAAACCGAAUCGUCCGGCGACGAAACUCUCAGGCGACACCGUCAAGCUCGAUUUCGUGCUCAGUAACCAGUGAUAUUCUUCCCGCAACUCGAUUUGAAGGGGAUUGAAGGUCGAAAUCGAAUCAAAGGUAGAGAUUUAGGAUUUAUUUUCUUAGAUCUUACAGAUUUAUGGUUUGUUUCACUGAAAGUUCUUAACUUUCAUAUGCAUUUCGUCUUUAAAUCAAACUGAUUUAUCUUUUGU